CGGGUGAGCGGCUCAGAUGUCCCCAUCGCCGCGCGGCUCUGGCGCUCCGCACCCUCCGUCUGCGGCAGCGGGGGCUGGCGGCCCUGGCCCCUGCCCGGUCCCCUCCUCCAACCCCAUGCCUCAGCCUUAACCCCGCUGCCCUCCCUCGCGGGGGGCAUUUGCCUGUGUCCCCCGCCCGCCCCGUCCGAGUCGGGAGCCAUGAACGAUCAGUACCACCGGGCCGCCCGGGAUGGAUACCUGGAGCUCCUCAAGGAGGCCACCCGGAAGGAGCUGAACGCCCCCGACGAGGACGGCAUGACCCCCACGCUCUGGGCUGCCUACCACGGCAACCUGGAGUCGCUGCGCCUCAUCGUGAGCCGCGGGGGUGACCCGGACAAGUGUGACAUCUGGGGCAACACGCCCUUGCAUCUGGCAGCUGCCAAUGGCCACUUGCACUGCCUGUCCUUCCUGGUGUCCUUCGGGGCCAACAUCUGGUGCCUGGACAACGACUACCACACGCCACUGGACAUGGCCGCCAUGAAGGGCCACAUGGAGUGCGUGCGCUACCUGGACUCCAUCGCGGCCAAGCAGAGCAGCCUCAACCCCAAGCUGGUGGGCAAGCUGAAGGACAAGGCCUUCCGCGAGGCGGAGCGGCGCAUCCGGGAGUGCGCCAAGAUGCAGCGCAAGCACCACGAGCGCAUGGAGCGGCGCUACCGGCGGGAGCUGGCGGAGCGCUCGGACGCGCUCAGCUUCUCUAGCCUCACGUCCAGCACCCUGAGCCGCCGGCUGCAGCACCUGGCGCUGGGCAGCCAACUGCCCUACUCUCAGGCCACGCUGCACGGCACCGCCAGGGGCAAGACCAAGAUCCAGAGGAAGCUGGAGCGUCGCAAGCAGGGCGGCGAGGGCACCUUCAAGGUCUCGGAGGACGGGCGCAAGAGCGUGCGCUCGCUCUCGGGCCUGCAGCUGGGCAGCGACGUGAUGUUCGUGCGCCCGGGCACCUACGCCAACCCCAAGGAGUGGGGCCGCGCCCCGCUCCGGGACAUGUUCCUCUCGGACGAGGACAGCGUCUCCCGUGCCACGCUGGCGGCCGAGCCUGCCCACUCGGAGGUCAGCACCGACUCAGGCCACGACUCCCUGUUUACCCGCCCCGGCUUGGGCACCAUGGUGUUCCGCAGGAACUACUUAAGCAGCGGCCUGGACGGGACGGGCACGCCACGGGGUCGGCUGCAGAGCUCCCCCAGCCUGGACGGCGACAGCCUGGGCAGUGCCAACAGCCUACAGGACCGCAGCUGCGGGGAGGAGCUGCCCUGGGACGAGCUGGACUUGGGCCUGGACGAGGACCUGGAGCCCGAUACGAGCCCGCUGGAGACCUUCCUGGCCUCGCUGCACAUGGAGGACUUUGCUUCCCUCCUGAGGCAGGAGAAGAUCGACCUGGAGGCGCUGAUGCUGUGCUCAGACCUCGACCUGCGCAGCAUCAGCGUCCCCCUGGGGCCCCGCAAGAAGAUCAUGGGGGCCGUGCGGAGGCGGAGGCAGGCUCUGGAGCGCCCGCCUGCCCUGGAGGACACGGAGCUAUAACCCGGGGUUCCUCUCCUGAGACCAAAAUGAAUCGCAAGUUGCCACAACCCGUGACGGGCCUGCAGGGUCCCCACAGUUGCCAGCCCUGCUGCCCUCUUCCCCAGGAGCAAGGACCAAGUGGGUCAUCUCCCUCAGCCUGCCCACAUACAGAGCAGAGCGUGUGGCCUGGAGGUGUCCAGAGGAGGAUCCCAGAACACCAGUUCCGAGGGUUCCUGCGACCCUGGGCCACCCUACAUGAGUGCCGCUGAAGCACGUGUGGAUCUGUACAACUCCAGCCCCUGGUUGGGGCUGCUUCACACCAGGGACUGGAUGACAUCAGAGCUGGGGGAACACGGCCUGUCUCAGGGUUCCAGCUCCUUCAGACUGCAAGGUUGAAGUUUCUGGACCCUCCGCUCCUUUACACUGUCCCCAUCCUGAAUGGGGGUCCUGUAAAGUUUCCCCUAACUUCUCUGUGGGUGACUGGCUUGUUGGGGUUCUCACGCCUGUGGGGAGGUAGUAGGCUGAGGGAGAAGGACCAAUGUUCCAGAAGGCAGGGCCUGAGACAAGUCUACUUUGUGGGGUCCCCAGGGUACUGAGGGGGUGGUGUGGAACCUCCCCCAGGCUGCAGGGUCCAGCUGGAACCCACAGCCCUGCUGCUUUCCAGGUGAAUUCUCCUUUCCAUGCCUCCCAUUCCCAGCUGUAGAUGGGGAGAAUCAAACCUCCACUACAGGCAAGUUGUGAGGAUAAUGUAAAGUAUUAGCUCAGGCCCCACACUCCUCAGGUGGAAGAACAGCCCUGGACAUGGGGCUGGGGUGGGCUCAUGGGCAUCAGCAAGGCUUGGGCAUCCCUGAGCCAGUGGCAGAGAAGUCUGACAUGCUGGGUUGUCCUCAAACGCCACACCUUCUGCACAGCCUGUUCUCUACUACAGAGCCGAGCUGGGGGAGGUCGCCACGCCCCUGAGUCCCCAGCUCUCCCCCCCGCAGAGAGAGAGAGUGCGCACUGGGUGCCAUAGCGUGUGCUGGGAGGCUGAGUCAGGAGCAUUUUAAGUCUGAGCUUGGCCUAGGCCACUUAAAAACUUUGGAAGACCCUGUCUCAAAGUUAUUAAUAAAAAAAGAGUCUGUAAAAGACCCUGGAUUCUGAAAAAGAAAAGACAACAACGAAACACAUACCUGAGGGAAAACAGGCCACAAAGAGAGAAGAAUAGAGAGUGUGAAGGUGUUUUCAAUAUAUGUUAGGUGUAAAUCGUGUCGACAAUUCAACAUAAUAAUGCAUAAUCACAGCACAAGAACACAGUACAGUUACUGCCCUCUCCAGGAACCCAGGGAGGUGGGCAGCAUCAUCGGUGCCCACUCCUACUCACCCUCUUAGAAAACUGAGCCUCAGAGGGGUCAAGAUUGCCCAGCAGGGACCAGACCUCGGUGUGUCUGAGCCCAGCGCCUGGCUCUUGACGUUGCUCUUGGUUUUUCUCCACCCUGUGCAAGAAUUGCAGCCCUCACUCCUCCUCCAGCCCUGGUACCGGCCCCACCAGUCUUGUCUGUACCCCACAUGGGACAGUGGUGCUACCCUGAUGCAGGGGAGGGACCAGGCCUCCCCCGGAACAGCUCACCCAUAGGGAGUCUGCGAGGCCCACGGUUCCAGCCCUGGGUUUUCAAGGAUCUAAGUUGCUGGGUAACUUGGAGAGGCUGACAGCCCUUGAAGGGUCAGCAGGGUUCCUGGAAGAUCCUGCCUGGUCCCCAUCCCCACCCCCUCAC